GCUAACGCGGUGGCAGGGGGGGGGGAAGGACAGGGGGGGCAUGGGUGUUUCGGAAUUACUGGGCGGAACGGGCGCGUGGGCGGCCUGGUAAGUCGAACGUGAAAUCCCCGGGCUCAACCCGGGAACUGCGUCCGAUACUGGCAGGCUUGAAUCCGGGAGAGGGAUGCGGAAUUCCAGGUGUAGCGGUGAAAUGCGUAGAUAUCUGGAGGAACACCGGUGGCGAAGGCGGCAUCCUGGACCGGUAUUGACGCUGAGGCGCGAAAGCCAGGGGAGCAAACGGGAUUAGAUACCCCUGUAGUC
rnacentral:rRNA from 1 species